CCUGAUCCAGCCAUGCCGCGUGAGUGAUGAAGGCCUUAGGGUUGUAAAGCUCUUUUACCAGGGAAGAUAAUGACGGUACCUGGAGAAUAAGCCCCGGCUAACUUCGUGCCAGCAGCCGCGGUAAUACGAAGGGGGCUAGCGUUGCUCGGAAUCACUGGGCGUAAAGCGCACGUAGGUGGGUCGUUAAGGCGGGGGUGAAAUCCCGGAGCUCAACUCCGGAACUGCCUUCGAUACUGGCGACCUUGGCGUCCGGGAGAGGUGAGUGGAACUGCGAGUGUAGAGGUGAAAUGCGUAGAUAUCAGGAGGAACACCGGCGGCGUAGACGGCUUGCUAGACCAUAACUGACGCUGAGGCACGAAAGCGUGGGUAG
rnacentral:rRNA from 1 species